GAUGAACGCUGGCGGCGUGCCUAAUACAUGCAAGUCGAGCGAACAGAUGAGAAGCUUGCUUCUCUGAUGUUAGCGGCGGACGGGUGAGUAACACGUGGGUAACCUACCUAUAAGACUGGGAUAACUCCGGGAAACCGGGGCUAAUACCGGAUAAUAUUUUGAACCGCAUGGUUCAAUAGUGAAAGACGGUUUCGGCUGUCACUUAUAGAUGGACCCGCGCCGUAUUAGCUAGUUGGUAAGGUAACGGCCUACCAAGGCGACGAUACGUAGCCGACCUGAGAGGGUGAUCGGCCACACUGGAACUGAGACACGGUCCAGACUCCUACGGGAGGCAGCAGUAGGGAAUCUUCCGCAAUGGGCGAAAGCCUGACGGAGCAACGCCGCGUGAGUGAUGAAGGUCUUCGGAUCGUAAAACUCUGUUGUUAGGGAAGAACAAAUUUGUUAGUAACUGAACAAGUCUUGACGGUACCUAACCAGAAAGCCACGGCUAACUACGUGCCAGCAGCCGCGGUAAUACGUAGGUGGCAAGCGUUAUCCGGAAUUAUUGGGCGUAAAGCGCGCGUAGGCGGUUUCUUAAGUCUGAUGUGAAAGCCCACGGCUCAACCGUGGAGGGUCAUUGGAAACUGGGAAACUUGAGUGCAGAAGAGGAGAGUGGAAUUCCAUGUGUAGCGGUGAAAUGCGCAGAGAUAUGGAGGAACACCAGUGGCGAAGGCGGCUCUCUGGUCUGUAACUGACGCUGAUGUGCGAAAGCGUGGGGAUCAAACAGGAUUAGAUACCCUGGUAGUCCACGCCGUAAACGAUGAGUGCUAAGUGUUAGGGGGUUUCCGCCCCUUAGUGCUGCAGCUAACGCAUUAAGCACUCCGCCUGGGGAGUACGACCGCAAGGUUGAAACUCAAAGGAAUUGACGGGGACCCGCACAAGCGGUGGAGCAUGUGGUUUAAUUCGAAGCAACGCGAAGAACCUUACCAAAUCUUGACAUCCUUUGACCGCUCUAGAGAUAGAGUCUUCCCCUUCGGGGGACAAAGUGACAGGUGGUGCAUGGUUGUCGUCAGCUCGUGUCGUGAGAUGUUGGGUUAAGUCCCGCAACGAGCGCAACCCUUAAGCUUAGUUGCCAUCAUUAAGUUGGGCACUCUAGGUUGACUGCCGGUGACAAACCGGAGGAAGGUGGGGAUGACGUCAAAUCAUCAUGCCCCUUAUGAUUUGGGCUACACACGUGCUACAAUGGAUAAUACAAAGGGCAGCGAAUCCGCGAGGCCAAGCAAAUCCCAUAAAAUUAUUCUCAGUUCGGAUUGUAGUCUGCAACUCGACUACAUGAAGCUGGAAUCGCUAGUAAUCGUAGAUCAGCAUGCUACGGUGAAUACGUUCCCGGGUCU
rnacentral:rRNA from 1 species